AGGAUGUACGGGUUCAAGUCCCGUCUGGGGUA
rnacentral:sRNA from 1 species